rnacentral:rRNA from 1 species
AACUACAGGAUUCCCUAGUAACUGCGAGUGAAGCGGGAAAAGCUCAAAUUUAAAAUCUGGCGGCUUUGUCGUCCGAGUUGUAAUUUAGAGAAGUGUUACCCGUGUUGGACCGUGUACAAGUUCCCUGGAAUGGGGCGUCAUAGAGGGUGAGAAUCCCGUCUCUGACACGGACUCCCAAUGCAUUGUGGUGCGCUCUCGAAGAGUCGAGUUGUUUGGGAAUGCAGCUCAAAAUGGGUGGUAAAUUCCAUCUAAAGCUAAAUAUUGGGGAGAGACCGAUAGCGAACAAGUACCGUGAGGGAAAGAUGAAAAGAACUUUGGAAAGAGAGUUAAACAGUACGUGAAAUUGCUGAAAGGGAAACGCUUGAAGUCAGUCGCGUUGUGCGGGACUCAGCCUUGCUUUUGCAUGGUGUACUUCCUGUACGACGGGUCAACAUCAGUUUUGACCGGUGGAUAAGGAUGUAGGGAAUGUGGCAUCCUCGGAUGUGUUAUAGCCCUAUGUCGCAUACAUCGGUUGGGACUGAGGAACUCAGCGCGCCGCAAGGCCGGGAUUUAUCCACGUUCGCGCUUAGGAUGUUGGCAUAAUGGCUUUAAUCGACCCGUCUUGAAACACGGACCAAGGAGUCUAACAUGCUUGCGAGUGUUUGGGUGUAAAACCCGAGCGCGUAAUGAAAGUGAAAGUUGAGAUCCCUGUCGUGGGGAGCAUCGACGCCCGGAGCAGACCUUUUGUGACGCAUCCGCGGUAGAGCACGUAUGUUGGGACCCGAAAGAUGGUGAACUAUGCCUGGAUAGGGUGAAGCCAGAGGAAACUCUGGUGGA